ACCCGGAGACACAAUCCGCAGCCCCUGGGUCUGUGCAGUGACCAGCCAGUCCCUGAGAACUUUCCCCUCCAGCACCAGGGAAAAUGGGAUUUUUGCUCCUUGUAAUUUUCGCUCUAGCAGCUUUGGAAGGUGUUCGGUCCCAGGUGCAGCUGGUGGAGUCCGGAGGGGAUGUGAAAAAGCCCGGAGACUCUCUCCGCCUCUCCUGCAAAGCCUCCGGGUUCGACUUCAGCAAUUACUACAUGCACUGGGUCCGACAGGCUCCCGGGAAGGGGCUAGAAUGGGUCGCUGCUAUAAGCUCUGUCCAGGGCCGCUCCUGGUGUGCUGAGCCCUUCAAGGGACACUUCACCAUCUCCAGGGACAACCCCAACGACCUGCUGUAUCUGCAAAUGACCGGCCUGAAGCCCGAGAACACCGCCCGGUAUCACUCUGCUAGGCACACAGUGAGCAGAUUAAAGCUAUUAAACACGGAACAAAAACUGAGCUGA